GACGAACGCUGGCGGCGUGCCUAACACAUGCAAGUCGAACGGAGUAAGAAGCUUCGGUUUUUUACUUAGUGGCGAACGGGUGAGUAACGCGUGAGGAACCUGCCUUUCAGUGGGGGACAACGGUUGGAAACGACUGCUAAUACCGCAUAAUGUUAUUGAGUGGCAUCACUUGAUAACCAAAGAUUUAUUGCUGAAAGAUGGCCUCGCGUCUGAUUAGAUAGUUGGUGGGGUAACGGCCUACCAAGUCGACGAUCAGUAACCGGACUGAGAGGUUGAACGGCCACAUUGGGACUGAGAUACGGCCCAGACUCCUACGGGAGGCAGCAGUGGGGAAUAUUGGGCAAUGGGGGAAACCCUGAUGCAGCAACGCCGCGUGAGUGAAGAAGUAUUUCGGUAUGUAAAGCUCUAUCAGCAGGGAAGAAAAUGACGGUACCUGACUAAGAAGCCCCGGCUAACUACGUG
rnacentral:rRNA from 1 species